AUAUCAAUAAGCGGAGGAAAAGAAACCAACAGGGAUUGCCUCAGUAACGGCGAGUGAAGCGGCAACAGCUCAAAUUUGAAAUCUGGCUCUUUUUUAGAGCCCGAGUUGUAAUUUGUAGAGGAUGCUUCGGCGUCGGCUCCGGUCUAAGUUCCUUGGAACAGGACGUCACAGAGGGUGAGAAUCCCGUACCUGACCUGGAGUCCGCUGCGUACGACACAUGAUCACAGAGUCGAGUUGUUUGGGAUUGCAGCUCUAAGCGGGUGGUAAAUUUCAUCGAAAGCUAAAUAUCGACGAGAGACCGAUAGCGCACAAGUA
rnacentral:rRNA from 1 species